rnacentral:tRNA from 1 species
CUAAGGAUGGUUCUUCAGAAGCUUGCUUCUAUCGAACCGUUUUAGAAACAUCAGUGGCCAACGGUCGUCAGGAUCGUUGAGCUGCAUUGGCGGGAUUUCGCCGUCUUCGUUUCUCUUUCUUCGCGGACGAACACGCGCUGGGGCUGCAAGCUUUGCAGAAUCCCUGGUCCUUGACUGGAUAUGCGUUAGGGGCUUGUAGCUCAGUUGGUUAGAGCGCGCGCUUGAUAAGCGUGAGGUCGGAAGUUCAAGUCUUCCCAGGCCCACCACACUCAUCGAGUGAGCAUUCGUCUUCUGGUUACGGGGCCAUAGCUCAGCUGGGAGAGCGCGUGCUUUGCAAGCAUGAGGUCGUCGGUUCGAUCCCGUCUGGCUCCACCAGAUGGUUUGAUCACCGACUGCCCAUACCGUCGUCCGCGAAACAUCACUUCGCACUUGCUAGUCCGGAUGGACAGUAAGCUGCGUGAUUUCUGACAUCGUAAAGAGGAGAUCGAUCCGAGUUGGAUCGGGCAACAAGUAAUUGUUGCGCGAUACUUCAUUAUCUCCGGAUCAUUUCGGCGCUCGUGCGUCUUCCAGGGUAGCUCACAAGGCUGCGCUGAAAGACAAACGAGUUGUAAAUGAUCCUUUUAGCGAAGCUUGACCGCCUCGCUAUCGGAACGAUCUUACGAAGCAAGCUGGUCUUUCUAAUCAUUGUCCGGCUGCAGAUAGCGUUCAUCGAGGGCGCGUGCCGCAAGGUAAUUCUGCAGACAACAUUCUGCCGAGUGUGUGGACAUUGAUAAUGAGAGC